GAGCUCGGUUCCGGAGUGAAAAAUCGCUUCUUUUCUCUGCCUUGGUGCCGUGGAUACGAAGAGUCCCGUGGGCAUUAGGGGGCGACGGGGCGCGGUGCCCCGAGCAGCGGUGCUCGUGUGGGAUGACUGGAUAAGGACGUGGCCCUCUGUCUUCUCCUGAUUUUGGCACGGCCGGAGCUGCUGGAUUUGGGGGGAUUUGGAUUUCUUGCGGCCCUGAUCCUGAGUCCUGACUGUAGUUUGCUUCCUGCGCGCGAGAAUAUGCUUCGUGUUCGUGGGAUAAUGGGAUUUACCAUAGUGAUUUCUUGCCUUCUUAGGCGAUCCCGUCUUAUCCGAAUUAUUCGAGCUGUAGUAUUCCUCAGAAGGAAUCCUCCUUGGUACUACAUCCGCAGGAAAUCCGCUCUCUCUUCUUAAGUUAAGGUUUCCAAUCCCCCCAAAUCUGGCUUUUUUCACGCUAUCGUAAAGAGGGCGCGGUAAUUCUUGUCUACCACGCAACACUGGUGGUCGAGGAGUCUUGGUAAACGCGGGUAUUGGAUUCGGUGACCUUGUAUGUUUAUCCUAAUCCAGGUCGGCUAUUUUCUUUCCUUUGUGGGUCAGAGAUGGCUUAGGCAAGCAUAAAUAUUCCUUUGCCCACCGGGGAGGCAUAUUUACCGUCUAUAUAUUUUAAGCUGAGUGCCCCCUGUUCAGAGGUGAUUAUUAGCCUUGAUAAGGGUUUGAGAGAUACCAGUUCUUUGGCCGGUGGCAAAGGUCAGUCUUGGCCGGGUCAGAGGGGGUAGAUACUGCAGAGCUUUUGCGUUUGAGUUGCUUGGAUUACUUGGCGUCAGUUUGUGCCUUUGUAGUUUGGUGACUAGUUGUCUCUUGCUAUCUCUAGAAGAUUCGGGUUAUAUGUUCCUCUUGGGGAUUUCACCUCUGCUUAUUUUGCUGUGCUGAUUGUUUGGUUUGCUGGUUCAGCUCACAUGAAAAAAAA